UAGGAAACAACACGUAGGUGGGUUUGUAAGUCAGACGUGAAAGCCUUCUGUUCAACGGAAGAAUUGCAUCUGAAACUACAAACCUUGAGUGUAGGAGGGGAGAAUGGAACUUCUGGUGGAGCGGUGAAAUGCGUAGAUAUCAGAAGGAACGCCGGCGGCGAAAGCGAUUCUCUGGCCUAUUACUGACACUCAGUGUGCGAAAGCUAGGGGAGCAAACGGGAUUAGAUACCCCGGUAGUCCUAGCCGUAAACGAUGGGCACUAAGUAGAGGGGUUCUAA
rnacentral:rRNA from 1 species